rnacentral:rRNA from 1 species
CAGCAGCCACGGUAAAACGGAGGGUGCAAGCGUUAUCCGGAUUUAUUGGGUUUAAAGGGUCCGUAGGCGGAUCUGUAAGUCAGUGGUGAAAUCUCACAGCUUAACUGUGAAACUGCCAUUGAUACUGCAGGUCUUGAGUAAAUUUGAAGUGGCUGGAAUAAGUAGUGUAGCGGUGAAAUGCAUAGAUAUUACUUAGAACACCAAUUGCGAAGGCAGGUCACUAAGAUUUAACUGACGCUGAUGGACGAAAGCGUGGGGAGCGAACAGGAUUAGAUACCCCAGUAGUCCCUGUCUCUUAUAA